GACACUAUGGCCGAGUGGUUAAGGCGACAGAUUCGAAUUACGUAAUCCGAUUAUCUGUUUCCCUCUGGGAGCGCAGGUUCAAAUCCUGCUGGUGUCG